UUAGCCCUAAACCUCAGUAGUUAGAACAACAAAACUACUCGCCAGAAUACUACAAGCAAUGGCUUGAAACUCAAAGGACUUGGCGGUGCUUCACACCCCCCUAGAGGAGCCUGUCCCGUAAUCGAUAAACCCCGAUCCACCCUACCCUCUCUUGCUUAGCCUAUAUACCGCCAUCUUCAGCAAACCCUGAUAAAGGCUACAAAGUGAGCGCAAAUGUCCCUUUCACAAAAACGUUAGGUCAAGGUGUAGCCCAUGAGAUGGUAAAAGAUGGGCUACAUUUUCUACUUCAGAAAACCCUACGAUAACUCUUAUGAAAUCUAAGAGCCCAAGGAGGAUUUAGCAGUAAAUUAAGAAUAGAGUGCUUAAUUGAACUAGGCCAUAAAGCACGC
rnacentral:rRNA from 1 species